rnacentral:misc_RNA from 1 species
CUGCUGACAUUUCCGCAACAAUCUGCAAAUUAGUCAGGCAUUAAAUUAAAUAAUUAAAAAUAAAAUUAUCGUAGCCAAUAAUACUUUUAUAUUCACAGAAUGGAGGCGGAACAGCCAAUGCCUCUUAACCAGAUGAAAUUCAAGGUUAUGAGAAUGGAAACAGGAAUAUCUGGCAUUUAGCCCUUCUAUGUCAAUUAUCAACUGAUUUGUCAUCAGGUGAGUAAAGGGCUAUAUCCUUAGUGUGGGCUGACAAAAACAGGCACAGUACAUGCAUCUAGUAUGCGUCACAUAUUACAUUUCAUGACAAGGUUUAAUCCACGAAGCAAAUUAACACACAGAUCUGUUAACAUUGUUGUAAAGAUGCUUAAUAGCUGUCAGUUUUUGGUCCUUUAUAUGAACCAGUUGUCAGCUUUUGGUUGCAUUUGGAAACAUACUUGGCUAUGUUGGUUG